rnacentral:rRNA from 1 species
UAUCUCUGUAGAGUCUGCAUAUCAAUAAGCGGAGGAAAAGAAACUAACUAGGAUUCCCUCAGUAACGGCGAGUGAAGCGGGAAGAGCUCAAAUUUGAAAUCUUCAAGGUUCUACCUUGACGAAUUGUAGUUUAAAGAAGUGUUUUCUGUUGGUGUUUUGGUAAAAGUUCUUUGGAAUAGGACAUCAUAGAGGGUGAGAAUCCCGUAUUUGACCAUUAUUUCCAGCUUUGUGAUACACUUUCAAAGAGUCGGAUUGUUUGGGAAUGCAGUCCAAAAUGGGUGGUAAAUUUCAUCUAAAGCUAAAUAUUGGCGAGAGACCGAUAGCGAACAAGUACCGUGAGGGAAAGAUGAAAAGAACUUUGAAAAGAGAGUUAAACAGUACGUGAAAUUGUCAAAAGGGAAGCGUUUGACACCAGUGUUGUUUUCUCGAAAAUCAAUUAAAAAAGGCAGGAUUUUGUGUUGUAUUGACUUUAUCAGCUUUCUGCACUCUUUUCUUGUCUUUUUUAAUGCACUUUUCGUUUAACAAGUCAACAUCAAUUUCUUUUGUUGUAAAAGGGUCAUUGGAAGGUGGCUUUCUUUUCGGAGAAAGUGUUUAUAGCCUUUGGCCUCUGCAAUCGGAGAGAUUGAGGUCUGCAGCGUAGAUCCUUCGGGGUUAGAUACAUUUGUGCUAAGUUAGUAGCCUUUCAUAGACAACUUGUUGACUAUGAUCAGUCAUGUAGCUUACUCGCUUAUGCUAUUUUACCUACGCUUAGGAUGUUGAUAGUCACAGCGUGUAC